AUUGAAGACAAAGCUGGGUGGGGACUUAGCUUGGGCUUCAGGGGCUGCUAUUCAGACAGACACUCCACGACUCCUGGGGAAGCUGCUCUCUAACCAAGCCUCCGGAGCCAAGCAAGUCUGAUCUGCCAGGGAGCCUCCGGCCUUGAACACUGACCAGAGUGUCUGAAGACCCUGUCCAGCUCUCCAAUGGCCAGCAACAACACCGCCAGCAUAGCGCAAGCCAGGAAACUGGUCGAGCAGCUGAAGAUGGAAGCCAGCAUCGACAGGAUAAAGGUGAGGACGAUGUCAUCUGCAGCUCGUCUAACUUGACGAGGGAGCAAACGCCUUGCAGCCCAACUGCCAUUCGACUGGCUUUUCACAGAGAUGGGUGAUACCAGGCAGGAAGGGAGAGGGAUCGAACAAUUCCACGGAUACUAAUUUCUCUAAAGUAUCUUUGGUUUCUUGAGGAUUCCCCAACGUCAAAUGAUGAUAGGCAUUGAAGUGGGGUCCCGGUUGAACCAGGAACAAGCCAGGUGGUGCAGGCCUUUAAUCUCCAUGGUCGGGAGGCAGAGACAGGUGGCUCUUUGGGUUUGAGGCCAACCUGGUCUACAGAGUGAGUACCAGGAUAGCCAGGGAUACACAAGGAAACCCUGUCUUUAAAAAAAAUCAUAAACAAAUAAAUACCACAGCAAAAAGAAAAAUGGUCUCCGUCUGAGUUCCAGCCGAGGAAGAGGGUGGGCACUUGAGACAUCAAUGGCCGCCUCCCAGACCCCAAAAGGAUCUUCUUAUUUUGGGUUCUAACCUUCUCUGUCCCAUUCAGUACCUAAGACUUAGUGCUGAUUUUAGGAGUCUAAUCUGUUUUAUUCAUUCAUCACUGACAAUUUUUUCAUCUUUAUAUCUUACUGAUUCAUUUUCACACUUGGGGCCUAGGUAGACAUAUUAGUGAGUGAGUGAGUGCCUUCCUUCAAACAUCAGGGCUUGAGUUUGCAUCUCUAGCAUCCCCACAAAAGUCGGAUUUGGGUGCCUGCAAGAUGGCUCCAUGGGAAAGUUGCUUGAUACCAAGCCCAGCAUUCUGAGUUCAAGCUCUGGAACACACAGAGUAAAAGGAAAGAACUGACCCCAUCUUAGAUCCAUGUGUGCACUGUGAUACACACAGACACACACACUUACCACAUACACACAUACAUACCACACCACACACACAUACACACACACACUUACCACAUACAUACACAUACAUAUCACACACACCCACACUUACCACAUACAUAUCACACACACGCACACACUCACCACAUACAUACACAUAGACAUACAUACCACACACACACAUACACUUACCACAUACACACACAUACAUACCACACACACACACACCACAUACAUAUACAUACAUACCACACACACACUCACCACAUACAUACACAUACAUACCACACACACACUUACCACAUACAUAUUCAUACAUAUCACACACACACUCACCACAUACAUACAUGUACAUACCAUACACACACACUCACCACAUACAUACACAUAGAUACCAUACACACACACUCACCACAUACAUACCAUACACACACACAUACUCACCACAUACAUAUUCAUACAUAUCACACACACACACUCACCACAUACAUAUACAUACAUACCACACACACACUCACCACAUACAUACACAUACAUACCACACACACACUUACCACAUACAUAUUCAUACAUAUCACACACACACACUCACCACAUACAUACAUGUACAUACCAUACACACACACACUCACCACAUACAUACACAUAGAUACCAUACACACACACUCACCACAUACAUACCAUACACACACACACAUACUCACCACAUACAUAUUCAUACAUAUCACACACACACACUCACCACAUACAUACACGUACAUACCAUACACACACACACACUUACCACAUACAUACACAUAAACACCAUAUACACACACACUUACCACAUACAUACACAUACAUACAACACACAUACACUCACCACAUACACACAUACAUACCACACCACACACACUUACCACAUACAUACACAUAUAUACCACACUACACACAUACUCACCACAUGCACAUAUAUAUACCACACAUACCACAUAUACACAUACCACACACACCACAUAUACACAUACACACAUAUACACCCGCCACACACACACUUUCCACAUACACACAUACUACAUAUAUACACCACACACCUACCACAUACAUACUCAUACACAUAGACACAUGCACACACACACCACACACACACACACACACGUGCACAUCACACACACACCACACACAUACACACACACUCACUACACACACACCAUAUACGUACACAUCAUACAUAUUACCCCCUACACACACAAACACACACACACACACACACACACACACACACUAAGGGGGCACUGUAAAUAAAUGGCGGAAAAAGAAAACAUCCAAGUGUGGCUCAGAAACAGGCAGGUCUCAGGGGCUCGCCAGCCUGCCAGUUCACAAAAACAGCAAACUCUGUGCCCAGUGAGAGACCCUGUUUCAAACACUGAGGUUGGGAAAGAUGGAGGACAAUGUCCGGCAUUCACCUCCGGCCUCCAAUGUCCAUACACAGAGUCAUUACAAUUCUCCCUUAGAAAGACGAGCAACGUGGAUGUUUAAGGAAGGUUAGUAAUCUGCUGUCACUUCACGCCCCAGACUUAACCUGACAGCUUUACUGGGGCUAAUUUAGAUAAAGGCCAGGCUUUGUUCAGUCCCUUGGCAUAUUUCGAGUGUGAAGCUAGCCCCACUGUCACUGGGAGCAGACGGCUAUUAUAGGAUGGAUUGCCGAAGAGGUAAAUUUCUGUCAGUCACCACAAUUGCACUUACUUAGAAACACUUCAGGAAAUGGAACUCAGAAACAUAUCUCACUGUACUAAAAUAAAAAUAGAACAUUAUUCCAAUUGCCUUUUUAAAGACCUACAGCAUUUUUCUACUUUUCCUUCCUCUACACCUUAAAAAAAAAAUCUGGAUCAGUCCGUGUAUGCAUUGGACAGUGCAGUAGGCAGUAAACGUGGUUUGGGACACAAAUCCAGCCCACGCUGUUUUUAUUAACCAAGUAUUAUUGG
ensembl:lncRNA Gng2 G protein subunit gamma 2